GAUCCUGGCUCAGAACGAACGCUGGCGGCAGGCUUAACACAUGCAAGUUGAACGGGAUUUGUAUGGUGCUUGCACCAUGUAAUGAGAGUAGCGCACUGGUGAGUAACACGUGGGAACAUACCUUGAAGUGGGGGACAACAGUUGGAAACGACUGCUAAUACCGCAUAAUCCCUGAGGGGGAAAGGAUUUAUCGCUUUAAGAUUGGCCGCGGAGAUUAGGUAGUUGGUGGGGUAAAGGCCUACCAAGCCGACG
rnacentral:rRNA from 1 species